rnacentral:rRNA from 1 species
AACUGAUUCACUAGAGUACGAAAGAGGAAAGUAGAAUUCACAGUGUAGCGGUGGAAUGCGUAGAUAUUGUGAAGAAUACCGAUGGCGAAGGCAGCUUUCUGGUUCUGUACUGACACUGAGGUGCGAAAGCGUGGGUAGCAAACAGGAUUAGAUACCCUGGUAGUCCACGCCGUAAACGAUGAUAACUAGCCGUUGGGGGGAUUUACCCUUUAGUGGCGAAGCUAACGCGUUAAGUUAUCCGCCUGGGGAGUACGGCCG